UUUCCGUAGGUGAACCUGCGGAAGGAUCAUUAACACGUAUCCACGUAUCAAACCAACCGUUGAACAUUCUGUUAUCGUGUGAGAAGGAACGAGAGUGCUAGGUGGUGAGGGAGAUAAGAGUUGGAAACAACUUGAAAUCCCCGUCUCUCGCUUCCGCGAUGACGUUCGCGUCAUCAUAUUCCUCGAUAAUGGUCACCACGUUAUUUUUAACCACUAUGAACACUUGUCUUACUUGUUGUAUCCUCUUUGUGAGCAUACAAGGUUUACGAAAUGUUUGAACAACUCUUAGCAACGGAUAUCUUGGUUUCC
rnacentral:misc_RNA from 1 species